AUUGAACGCUGGCGGCAUGCCUUACACAUGCAAGUCGAACGGCAGCGGACCUUCGGGUGCCGGCGAGUGGCGAACGGGUGAGUAAUAUAUCGGAACGUACCUUUCAGUGGGGGAUAACGUAGCGAAAGUUACGCUAAUACCGCAUAUUCUGUGAGCAGGAAAGCAGGGGAUCGCAAGACCUUGCGCUGAUUGAGCGGCCGAUAUCAGAUUAGCUAGUUGGUGAGGUAAAGGCUCACCAAGGCGACGAUCUGUAGCGGGUCUGAGAGGAUGAUCCGCCACACUGGAACUGAGACUCGGUCCAGACUCCUACGGGAGGCAGCAGUGGGGAAUUUUGGACAAUGGGCGCAAGCCUGAUCCAGCCAUGCCGCGUGAGUGAAGAAGGCCUCGGUUGUAAGUAC
rnacentral:rRNA from 1 species